GAUGAACGCUGGCGGCGUGCCUAAUACAUGCCAGUCGAGCGAACGGACGAGAAGCUUGCUCCUCUGAUGUUAGCGGCGGACGGGUGAGUAACACGUGGAUAACCUACCUAUAAGACUGGGAUAACUUCGGGAAACCGGAGCUAAUACCGGAUAAUAUUUUGAACCGCAUGGUUCAAAAGUGAAAGACGGUCUUGCUGUCACUUAUAGAUGGAUCCGCGCUGCAUUAGCUAGUUGGUAAGGUAACGGCUUACCAAGGCAACGAUGCAUAGCCGACCUGAGAGGGUUGUCGGCCACACUGGGACUGAAGCACCGGCCAAGCUCCUACGGGGGGCAGCAAUAGGGGAUCUUCCGCAAAGGGCCAAAGCCUGGCGGAGCAACGCCGCGUGAGUGAUGGAGGUCUUCGGAUCGUAAAACUCUGUUAUUAGGGAAAAACAUAUGUGUAAGUAACUGUGCACAUCUUGGCGGUACCUAAUCAGAAAGCCACGGCUAACUACGGGC
rnacentral:rRNA from 1 species